rnacentral:rRNA from 1 species
AUUGAACGCUGGCGGCAUGCCUUACACAUGCAAGUCGAACGGUAACGCGGGGCAACCUGGCGACGAGUGGCGAACGGGUGAGUAAUAUAUCGGAACGCGCCCAGUAGUGGGGGAUAGCCCGGCGAAAGCGGAUUAAUACCGCAUGAGACCUGAGGGUGAAAGCGGGGGAGUCGCAAGACCUCGCGCUAUUGGAGCGGCCGAUAUCAGAUUAGCUAGUUGGUGGGGUAAAGGCCCACCCAAGGCAACGAUCUGUAGUUGGUCUGAGAGGACGACCAGCCACACUGGGACUGAGACACGGCCCAGACUCCUACGGGAGGCAGCAGUGGGGGAAUUUUGGACAAUGGGCGCAAGCCUGAUCCAGCAAUGCCGCGUGCAGGAAGAAGGCCUUCGGUU